rnacentral:lncRNA from 1 species
AAAGACUGGGUGGCCUGAGGGCAAGGAAUGGAAAUAUCACUGAAACUAAAGAAAACGACCCUCCAGUCCAGUGGGUGCAAACUGGGGACUUCAGCUGGAUUCACCCCUCAGGUGGCUUCUGUUUGGCCACCACCUUGUUUGAUUCUGAAACCUGAAGUGGGAAAUCCAGGUUGCUGGAGAAGCCACAAACCACACCAGCCAGGUGUGCCACCCCACACCAGCCAGGUGAGAGAGAAGAUCGGUGACAAUGUGUGUAAGCUGCAACAACACUUUCCCUGUAGCCACCUUUGGGGCAUAAAGAAGGGUCUCCUGUAGCCCCCACUGACCUGGAUCCACAGACACAAAAAUCUGGGAAAUGUAGUUCCAGCUGGAGUAACAGUGAUGGCAACAGAAAUAACAAUAACGAAAGACAUGCAUUUAGGAUCUAUACCAAGCGCCUCCCAUGUAUCAUU